GCAGGAGGCGGAGGAAGAAAAUCAAAAGGGUUUGUUAAGGGAUAUCUUGGGGGUAGGAUAUUCGAGGAGUGAUGGUGGUUGGUCAAAGCAGGGAACAUGUAGGAAACGGGAGGUCAAGUAGGUGAUAGAGCUUGGCGGGAUGACCGGAACGGACGGCGAGGCAGGUGACAGAGAAGGAGAACUGGAGACGGAGAAGAACACAAUGGGCCAGAUUUGGACCCACCUACAUUUCGGUCUAAAUCUGCUUAAGCCUGCUGACGUCAGUGACAGAAAAAGGCCACCCGCAUGAAUCACUGUACCUGGAGUCACUUUCUUUAAAAACCAAUGACCAAGUCCUUAACCUUGGUGUACUGAUAGAUUCCGACCUGACUUAUAACAGACAUAUCGAAUCAAUUACUAAAACUGCCUUCUACCAUCUCAAGAACAUAUCCAGAGUGAAGGCUUGCAUGUGUCAAGCAGACCAGGAGAAGCUCAUCCAUGCUUUUAUCUAAAGUAGACUUGACUAUUGUAAUGGUCUUCUGACUUGACUCCCCAAAAAGAGCAUUAAACAGCUGCAGCUCAUUCAGAAUGUUGCAGCUCGGGCUGUGACCAGAACAAAGAGGUCAGAGCAUAUUACUCCAAUUCUAAAGUCUUUACACUGGCUUCCAGUCGGCUUCAGAAUAGGUUUUAUAGUUCUGCUACUGGUCUAUAAAUCACUAAAUGGUUUAGAUCCUGAAUACAUGAAAGAAAUGCUAAUGAAUAUAAACCCAGUGGUGCUCUGAGAUUGACAGACUCGGUUCAAAUAGCGGAGCACAGAGUUCAAAGCAAACAUUGUGAACCAGCAUUUAGCUAUUAUGCUGCACACAAAUUGUUGCCAAUAGAAGUGACGUCAGCCCCAAGUGUGAAUGUGUUAAAGUCCAGGUUAAAAACUCUUCUUUUUUCUCAUGCUUUUUAGAGCAUUUUCACUUUUAAAUAAUAUUUCUUGCACUCUAUGCUGUUUUAAUUGUACUUUUAUUUUAUUUCCUCUUUGUUUUAAAUGAUGAU